UGGGGAAUAUUGGACAAUGGGCGAAAGCCUGAUCCAGCCAUGCCGCGUGUGUGAAGAAGGUCUUCGGAUUGUAAAGCACUUUAAGUUGGGAGGAAGGGCAGUAAGCGAAUACCUUGCUGUUUUGACGUUACCGACAGAAUAAGCACCGGCUAACUCUGUGCCAGCAGCCGCGGUAAUACAGAGGGUGCAAGCGUUAAUCGGCAUUACUGGGCGUAAAGCGCGCGUAGGUGGUUCGUUAAGUUGAAUGUGAAAGCCCCGGGCUCAACCUGGGAACUGCAUCCAAAACUGGCGCGCUAGAGUAGGACAGAGGGUGGUGGAAUUUCCUGUGUAGCGGAGAAAUGCGUAGAUAUAGGAAGGAACACCAGUUGCGAAGGCGACCACCUGGGCUCAUACUGACACUGAGGUGCGAAAGCGUGGGGAGCAAACAGG
rnacentral:rRNA from 1 species